rnacentral:rRNA from 1 species
UAGGGAAUAUUAGAAAUGGACGAAAGUCUGAUCUAGCAACACCGCGUGUGCGAAGAAGGCCUUCGGGUCGUAAAGCACUUUUUGGAAGGAAUAGGAAGGAAUGUACUUCCAGAAUAAGUCUCGGCUAACUACGUGCCAGCAGCCGCGGUAACACGUAGGAGGCAAACGUUAUCCGGAUUUACUGGGCGUAAAGCGCGUGUAGGUGGUACUGUAAGUAGGGCGUGAAAGCUCCUGGCUCAACUUGGAGAGGCCGUUCUAAACUACAGAACUAGAGGAUGGUAGAGGGAGUUGGAAUUCCAGGUGUAGCGGUUGAAUGCGCAGAUAUCUGGAGGAACACCGGUGGCGAAGGCGGCCUCCUGGACCAUUCCUGACACUCAGACGCGAAAGCUAGGGUAGCAAACG